rnacentral:rRNA from 1 species
AAUUUUGGACAAUGGGGGAAACCCUGAUCCAGCCAUCCCGCGUGUAUGAUGAAGGCCUUCGGGUUGUAAAGUACUUUUGGCAGAGAAGAAAAGGUAUCCCCUAAUACGGGAUACUGAUGACGGUACCUGCAGAAUAAGCACCGGCUAACUACGUGCCAUCAGCCGCGGUAAUAAGUAGGGUGCAAGCGUGAACCGGAAUUACCGGGAGUAAAGCGUGUGUGGGCGGUACGGAAAGAAAGAUGUGAACUCCCAGGGCUCAACCUUGGAACUGCAUUUUUAACUGCCGAGCUAGAGUAUGUCAGAGGGGGGUAGAAGUCCACGUGUAGCAGUGAAAUGCGUAGAUAUGUGGAGGAAUACCGAUGGCGAAGGCAGCCCCCUGGGAUAAUACUGACGCUCAGACACGAAAGCGUGGGGAGCAAACAGG